rnacentral:piRNA from 1 species
CCCAUGCUCUUAGACUUUGCUUCGUC